GGGGUUGUGGCUCAGUGUUAGAGCACUUGUCUCCCAUGCAGUGAGGCUCUGGGUUUGAUCCUCAGCACCACA
rnacentral:tRNA from 1 species